rnacentral:tRNA from 1 species
GGAGACUUAAACAGUAAAGUGCCUGCCUGGAAAGCAUGAAGCCCUGAGUUCAAAUCCCAGUGCCACCA